UACGUAGGGACCGAGCGUUGUCCGGAUUUAUUGGGCGUAAAGAGCGCGUAGGCGGCUAUCCACGUCGGAUGUGAAAAGCUCAGGGCUCAACCCUGAGAGGCCAUUCGAUACGGGAUAGCUAGAGGUAGCUAGGGGAGAGUGGAAUUCCCGGUGUAGUGGGUGGAAUGCGUAGAUAUCGGGAGGAACACCAGUGGCGAAGGCGGUUACCUGGAGCUUUGCUGACUGC
rnacentral:rRNA from 1 species